AUUAUUUACAAUAGUUUUUACUUCAUCUUAUUUCACAUUCAUCAAAAAACACCAUAAGAUAAAGAUACAGCGGUUGCAAGAUAUUAUCUGUAAAGGUGCCAGUAAAAUCUAAAACCCUGACUGAAAUAGUUAGGGAUUUAGGGGGAAAGACUGGAUUUCUUUUAUUGAUCUUUUUACCUUCUGAGAGCUUAGUGCUUUCCAAGCAUUUCACCUAUAUUCAUAUGGGAAACGUUUAACGAAAAGCAUAGCAGUUUACAAUUUAUUGUUAUGUAUGGGAAAGUUUGUAAACAUUUCCUGAUAAUGAAUUGCCUUUGGUAUAUGGUGGUUUUAGGGUGACUAGAUGAAAAAGACAGGGCUCUGUGCCUUUAAUAGCUAUGUAAAAGAGGAGUUUUCAGCAUGUGUUACUUGUCAUACAAGCAACACCAUUCCAAAUUUACCUCCUCUAUGCAGGUCUUAAAGGUGCGCUCCUCUUUUUCAUCUGGUCACCCUGGUUUGCACUGACUCUGUUUAUAAAUGAGAUUGUUAAGAAAUCACUGUUGUUGUGAGCUAAAGGUACAUGUUCUAGCCCUAUUAUAUUCUUACUGGAAUACCAGAUAAGACAUCCUCUGAGACUUCUAUACCAGCUGGAUGAUAGAAAACUCACGUUUUGAGAACUCUGGUGAUGAUCUGGUUCAGUUGUGUAACCAUAGCAGAAUUUAUUUAGAGUUUUACAUAAAUGUGUCAGUUUAUUUAAGGACCUAUUCUGAGUCAGAAAAAAAGUUAGUCGGGUAAAUUAGGAAGAAACACAUAAUACUGAUGACCUGUUGGCACAUAAUGUCUGUAAAUCACCUUGGAAGAUUAUUCAUAAAUGUAUUCAUCAUCAUUACCAUACUGUAAUGUCCAAGGGAAUGCCCAGAGUCUAAGGUACCAUACCAUGUGUGACGCUUAUCUUUUCUGUCUUAGAUGACUUCUAAUAAGGUCAUGGAAUUCUGGUGUGUGCUCAGAGUUUGGGUCAGGGAAUCAUCAUCAAGUGAUUCAUCAUCAACAACAGACAUAUAAUUUUGGAUUGGGGACUAGUUAAAAGGGAGAUAGAAUCUGUCUCUGAGAUAAUAAAAGUAGGGCAUAAGUUUA